GACGUAGGGCGCGAGCGUUGUCCGGAUUUAUUGGGCGUAAAGAGCUCGUAGGCGGCUUGUUGCGUCGGCUGUGAAAACCCAUGGCUCAACCGUGGGCCUGCAGCCGAUACGGGCAGGCUAGAGUUCGGUAGGGGAGACUGGAAUUCCUGGUGUAGCGGUGAAAUGCGCAGAUAUCAGGAAGAACACCAAUGGCGAAGGCAGCUCUCUGGGACGGUACUGACGCUGAGACGCGAAAGCGUGGGGAGCGAACAGG
rnacentral:rRNA from 1 species